ACUUAAAUAGCUUAAAUUUAAGAGUAUGAUAUUGAAGAUAUCAAGGUGAUAUAUAGUAUAUUUUUAAGUA
rnacentral:tRNA from 1 species